GACGAACGCUGGCGGCGUGCUUAACACAUGCAAGUCGAACGGAAAGGCCCUGCUUUUGUGGGGUGCUCGAGUGGCGAACGGGUGAGUAACACGUGAGUAACCUGCCCUUGACUUUGGGAUAACUUCAGGAAACUGGGGCUAAUACCGGAUAGGAGCUCCUGCUGCAUGGUGGGGGUUGGAAAGUUUCGGCGGUUGGGGAUGGACUCGCGGCUUGUCAGCUUGUUGGUGGGGUAGUGGCUUACCAAGGCUUUGACGGGUAGCCGGCCUGAGAGGGUGACCGGCCACAUUGGGACUGAGAUACGGCCCAGAGUCCUACAGGAGGCAGCAGUGGGGAAUAUUGCACAAUGGGCGGAAGCCUGAUGCAGAAACGCCGCGUGCGGGAUGACGGCCUUCGGGUUGUAAACCGCUUUCGCCUGUGACGAAGCGUGAGUGACGGUAAUGGGUAAAGAAGCACCGGCUAACUACGUG
rnacentral:rRNA from 1 species